CUACCAUUUCUACAACCUCUAAUUGAUUUCAGCGGUUCUGAUCACCUUAAUUGAAUGAAACGGAACAACAAUACACUUGUCUCAUAACUAAGGUCAAAUAGUUAUUUGUAACAUUUGACAAGGUAUAGGUUAGAGAGAAAAAUAUUUGGAAAUUGAAUGCAGUUACAUUCUUACAAGACAUAUCUGGAAGUAUGUUUAAGCAUUCAUUCAGACAUUGAUGAGGAAAUUAC